rnacentral:rRNA from 1 species
AUCGCCCUUGAGUUUGAUCCUGGCUCAGGAUGAACGCUAGCGGCAGGCCUAAUACAUGCAAGUCGAGGGGCAGCACGAGUACUUGUACUUGGUGGCGACCGGCGCACGGGUGCGUAACGCGUAUGCAACCUACCUUAUACAGAGGGAUAGCCCAGAGAAAUUUGGAUUAAUACCUCAUAGUAUCAUUUGAAGGCAUCUGAGAAUGAUUAAAGAUUUAUCGGUAUAAGAUGGGCAUGCGUAAGAUUAGUUAGUUGGUGAGGUAACGGCUCACCAAGACUUCGAUCUUUAGGGGUUCUGAGAGGAUGAUCCCCCACACUGGUACUGAGAUACGGACCAGACUUCUACGGGAGGCAGCAGUAGGGAAUAUUGGUCAAUGGGCGAGAGCCUGAACCAGCCAUGCCGCGUGCAGGAAGACGGCCUUCUGGGUUGUAAACUGCUUUUAUAUGGGAAGAAAACGGCCUUGCGAGGCAGAUUGACGGUACCAUAUAAAUAAGCACCGGCUAACUCCGUGCCAGCAGCCGCGGUAAUACGGAGGGUGCAAGCGUUGUCCGGAUUUAUUGGGUUUAAAGGGUACGUAGGCGGCCAAUUAAGUCAGUGGUGAAAGCCAGCAGCUCAACUGUUGAACUGCCAUUGAUACUGAUUGGCUCGAGUUCUGUUAAGGUAGGCGGAAUUGAUGGUGUAGCGGUGAAAUGCAUAGAUACCAUCAGGAACACCGAUUGCGAAGGCAGCUUACUAGGCAGAAACUGACGCU